AUGGCGAACAUGGUGGAGGACAGUCAAGAUGAUCGGCUCAGCAAGUUGCCUGAUGACGUUUUGCUCAACAUUGUCGAGCGACUUGGUAUCGUUGACGUCGCACGAACCACCGUCCUCUCCAGACGUUGGAAGCAGAUCCCUGCUAUACUCUCGAAAGUUGUUAUAUUGGCUGGUUCUUUUGAGCCGAAGCACGAAGACUGGAGCAAGUUAACCCCAGAUGAUAUAGUUCGGGCCAACACCACCGUGCUGGAAGCAACCAGGAGCAUACUGGAAAGGAGAGCUGGAAGUCUGUACCCCAUUCACCUGUUGCGCAUGCAAUUCUACUUGGGAGAUGAGUCCAUUUUAAUUGGCCAGACUGUUGCCAAUGCCAUAGCAACACAAAAGGUUGAUUCAGCUGAGUUUACAAUCUUGACGAAGGUGCGUAAGAAGUGUACCAAGAAUGAGCUGCUCAUAUAUGGGAAGCAAUUCAUGUCAUUCUUUGAUUCAUGUCCAAACGCAUUUGGUGGUCUUGCACGCCUCACGCUAGAGAAUUUGAGGUUAGGAGAAUCAGGUUUCCCCAAGAUUUUCAGUAUAUGCAAGCAACUGGAGUUCCUCUCCCUCUACGAAUGUGACAUGGGUAUUAAGUCUUUGCUGGAAGUGGAACACCCGCAACUCAGUGAACUAGUGAUUGUCUGUGGCCGUUUUGAGAGGGUUGAUCUGAAGUGGGUACCAAAGCUCACAAAACUGAAAUUUAAUGUGUUUAGAUCUCGGGAUGACCCCUUCUGUCUUGGCUAUGUCCCACUGCUCCAGACUGUGUCCAUCAUUAAUGUUGCUUUCACUUGGCACAAGAUGCUCAAGUUAAGUGAGUUGCUUGGUAACUCUGCCAUAAGCAAUCUGUCUUUGGACUUCAAAAGCGAAAAGAUUUGGGUCAAACCGGAAGGUCGUAGACAAUUGUUACCGGUGUUCCACAAACUCAGGAUUGUGAAUUGGAUUAACAUUGCUGAAGAGUGUGAUCUGACUUGGACAAUGUUCUUACUCCAUGGCGCACCCAACCUUAAGGAACUACACAUCUUGGUGCGGAAUCAUCAAUGUGAAAUGAUAACAGGGAAGCGGAGGGAGUUGCCUGUGGUUUGCAAGGAGAAGGACAAGGGACUAGAGUGGGAACCAUCUGCAUCUGAUUUCAAGCACCACAACCUGGCAGAGCUCGGUAUCUAUGGGAGGUUUCAUGCAGCAGACAAACUAGUGCGAUUUGCCAGAGAUGUCGUGGAAGCAGCUGUGAAUCUGGAGAAUAUAAGACUAUACAAGAGUCCAGUGUGUGUUAGGUGCAAGCACAUGCUUAAGGAGUGGACAUUUGAGGAGACGUCUUGGCUUAGCUACGAAUUCAGCAAGGAGAUACCCUCGCAUGUCCGGAUUCACUUUCCGAGUUUGGGGCAAGUCUUCUGA
rnacentral:rRNA from 1 species